CCAUUGACUACGAGGUCUCUAGGUAAGUUUACCAAAAGUACACUUUAAGCUGUAAUGUCUUCCGGUCUAACCAAAAUAGAACGGCUGACGUUAAGGUGGAAAACUAUGAUUGAGAAACUCAUCUUACAAUAGAGGACUUCUAUCGUGCUACGUACGAGGAGGACCUUGUGGACAUAAAACGAGGGAAAGUCCAGUUUGAAGUCCCUCCCGUGACCAUACACGAGGCAGCACAGGUACAAAAGUCUAGAACUGGGUAGAGACGAGAACAAGGAAGUGUCCGAUUUUACGUAGUUUAAGUUUUUAUACGAGUCACUCUUUAAAGAUUAUUACUCUUCUUUUAGAGAACGGCUACCGUAACACUUUUAGAGUGUACCCUUACUCUGUCACUCGACCAACCAUCAAUGAUUCUUUAAUGUCCCGAGCGAACAAGCAGUACUACAGACAUCGUGUCUCUAUCGAUACCGUAAAAGAAACGUCCUCUGUCUCCUACCUCUCAUACUUGGAAUAAAUUUCGUUGUUGGACACAAACGAAAGGAAGGAGAUUCCAUGAUGCCAGAAUUUAAGUAAGAAGUUCCUCUAAAACAGAACGGAAGAAGAUCUCUUCUUCACCUACGUCUAUCGCGUACCUUGGUUACCAACGACAGACUUAAGGGUAGAAAUAAACAAUCGUAUGUUCUUAGAAAAACACGAGACGGAACGAAGGCUUUCACGGGACCUUUUCGACAAUGUCGGAACUACUCAAAACACGGAGAUGGCCCUCUUCAAGUACCCAAGAAAAGAGUCGAGGGAGUAAACUAGGAAAGGUUCAACGCGGACUGGACGACGUACCAAAACCUCCCGAGGUCAAACGUCACCCAGGUGGGUACGUUGUGUGAUUCCCCAACCCUACUUGUCCGAUCUUUCGAUAACGGACUAUGGUAUGAGGUACUUGUAGAAGUGGAACCUAUAAAUAGUUUUCUACAAUGACAUAGGCUAUGUAAUAGUUCCCGGAAUCCAUAUGUACUCAUACCUGGCUUUCAAAACUGACUACAAUACAGUAGAUAAACGGUUUAACUACCAACGUAACUCAGUGACCCUGACCUUACCGAUACACGAACCAAACAAUGUGAAGUAAGCCGCAACGACAGAGUAAGAAGAGUCCUAGAAGGGAAAUCUUGUUUAAAACUUUCACUAUGAAAUACAAGAGAGUCCUUUUACGUUACGUAGGGUGAAAGUCUACCAAGUAAAGCGACAUAUCGUCUACCGGGUUAUACCAACUUAACACUAGAAGAGCUGAGAGGCGGACCUAGGUUUUAGUCGUACGUCUCGAAGGGUCAAGACAUGUCAUCGGAAGCGUAACACUCGGGUGUGUAGGAGAGGUACAGGACGUUUUUAUCAAUGUAACAGCUUCUCUGCUCUUGUUUACUGGAAUAUCUAUAAAAUAACUUUCAACCACACGACUUCAACAGACCUGUACUGUAAUAUUUUUUAGUGUAGGACCACAGUAACAGAUUACGAUGUCUACGAUUAGGUCUUCUCUUUUACUACUGUCUUAUAUACUCAAAAUAGUACGAUGUAGAAGUCCGGGGGACAUAUUCGACGUUGGGUCUCUUUCUUCUCUAACAGAGUCUUAAUGCGUUCUACGGACAGAAUGAAUGCUUGUUACCGAUAUUCACGGGUCGACUACAUGGGUAAGUGAAGUCAUUUGUAAUACCUUUAAGACACCUGUAUCCGUUCGAGGAAGUCUUACAUCUAUACCGUACCUAACUUGAACUGUGAACAAUAAACUGUGUAGUAUCAAGGCGAAGUGACGUUAAGUUAAACGUUUCAACCUCCGUUAAAAAGCUCGUCAAUCCGCACUGGCUAAAACAAGUCCAUUACCUUCAACUCUUUUUAUAUAAACUCCGACUACUGAAAGUUUUACCAUGAGGGAAGGUUCCACCGUAUGGACCUUGUGGAAUAUAACACAUACUGACCCUCAGCGGUCUUAACUGCUGAUACAAUAGUUAUGAGUGGAGUUUCUUAAACACUCUUUUAGCAUAUAUAGAAGACUUCCAAGAUCUGUUUAUGACCUUACUAACAAUAUCAUGUUUUACAUCCUCAGAGUGUUUACGUUGUCUAACACCACUUUUCUCUUUUCAACUGAGAAGGAAAUACUUCACAGACGCUUUGAAGUUCAUACCUACUCCUGGAAGUAAUGCGUCCUCUAGAUAAAACACUAAAAUUUUUACACGCGAGAGAAGAACCGUCGCAGCGGGGUAUACGAUUUGGUGACCAAUCAUGAGGGAGGCAUUUGAUUAUAUUCUCACAAAUCUUAUGAUUUUAUCACUAGAUUUGCGAGAAUAUAAUCAAAUGUCUCCCUCAUGAACCAUCAUCAAAUAGGAACGGUUUGAUAUAACACAAAAGUAGUAUUACAGAACAAGGACACCUUAUCAAUAGUUCGUGUAAUGAAUCCUUCCUGUAACCUAAGUUCUGUUGUCAUAGGGUGUCACUGCGAAAUAACUAGGAGUUAGUGACCUAUCGUAGUGUUCGAUUAAAAUCACGUUCUUACCUGGUCUACACGUUUAAGAUGUGGAAGUACAGUCUUCCACGGCGAUCACCUCUAUAGUUGUAAUUUGCGCUAAAGGAUGGUGAGACGAGAUAUAAAUGUGGUGACGUACCAAGUGGUAGUUGACUAAGACAUUGGCCCUCUAAAUACAGAAGUUUACUAAACAUAACCGUACUGGGUUGUCCGACAACACUUUUCUAUAUACGUAGGUAAAAUUACUUCCCCUUAUACAAAGGCUCUUUCUACAAUAGACACCGAAUAGGUUCGGAGGUACUUAAGAAAUGACUCUGUACACCACAUGGUUUCUAUGGUUGCUGUAGACUCAUGGAACUCUAUGACGAGGCCGAUAGUUCACAACGUAACGGAAGUGUUCAUCGGUUAGUACACAAAGCACAUAAACACUCUACCCGAUUACUAGAGGUAAGACCUUCAAUAUUCUACCUGCUAUAGAACAAGAACUUUCUUAGAGAAGUCUUCAACCUUUGUUGUCAUAACGGUUGGGACCCAACGUCUACCCACAGGGAGGUAGGUAGAAAACCAGAACAAACGACCCGUCUACUGCUACUCGACUUCGUCGUUAAAGUCUUGUGAGCACUCCAGCUUAAAUAUGUUAAACCACUUGAAAGAGAACUACUGUUUGUUUUUGAGCUACCCUCCCAACGACGUAACUACUUGUAAUAUCCAUAAGGCCGUGAAAGAUUCCAACACAUAGCGCUUGGUUACGUAAGACCAUGUCCCUUGUUGUCUCCUUUCCGAUCAAAUGAAUUAACCGAAAAUGGUAUAUACGUUGCAAUGUAGAUGUUCUACGUACCUCUAUGAAUGUUAUUUAAAGUCGUUUUACUCCGGUGCUUCGAAUCGUCAGAACUUCAAUAACAACAACUCUUCAAUAGGAUGUUCAUAUACGACUUUCCUGCACUAUCAAGAACACUCCCUUCUAAACUUACGAGAACAGAAAAUGUCCCUUUAUAAAAUAUACGAUGAGUUCUUCGACUAAGUGUAAGCUAAGAAGACCUUUAAAGAUUUGAAAAGAAACUACCUAGACAACUAGAUGUGAAGCGUUUAAAAGAAGUGUACCAGUUUUGGUACAGUCUUAGACCGAGGCGUCACCUUGUUUAACUCAAAAAAUAACAGUUAUUAGUCUUCCACGGAGACAACGGACUUGUCCUUGGACGAACCAGGAAAAGAAGUAGCAAACAGCAGCUCCUUUAUAAAUCAAGGGGUUGUCGACUUGAGGUUGGAGGCCUACUUGGGUCUGCGGGGGAGUUCGCAUUCUUCUUGGGUCCUUAGUAACUUACGGUGGGAGGCUUAUUAGGACUUUGUCGUGGACUAGAACUUUGGAGAAUGUAUUCGGUCGUUCUGUAUUUCCACUUACUAUAACGUAGAAGUAGUCUCGAAUCGUUCGGACAGCACACACCUGGGUACCUUCUAUGAAGCCAAGGGUAGUUCCAACUUCCCCUAGUACAGCACUUUCUCUUAAGUUGUUGUCUUGUAUACGAUCCGCAUGUCUCAUGUUACCUUCAACUACUACUCGGACGAACAAACCUGAACCUUCGUCCUUCGAGUGGUUCAGACUAACUACUUUGACUCGAUUGGCUGUAACUACUCUUUGAACGACUACAACGUCUUCUACCUUCGCUCGAUCCUCGACCGUGUGGACCAUUUCGGUGUCAAGUUUUCGGUCUACUCGCCAGUUCUUGGCCGUCCGAACCACUUCGACGCCAUGUGGUUAUGGAACGGCCCGUCGACCCUGGAUCGUUACAGUUCACCCACUUGCUUCUCUUCCUUAGCCCCGAAGGGAUACUGUAACAGUAGUGAGGGCUCCCACCGCGGCGUCUCAUACACCUCCACUUCCGCUGGCACUGAAGUUUGAUCCUGACCAAGGUGUAGUGUGGGUUACUUACCGUUAAGCGCGAACUCUUUCCCCUAAGCAAGUCGUAGCGGGUACAGCACGACUUUCCAAGUCUCUUUCGCUUAUAUUACUACUACUUCUUAGGCGUCUUCGAGACGGUGGUCUUCCAGCUGCUAAACUUAAAACGCGAACAAUACAGCUUUUUUAUAUCUUUUGAGUUGGUUUAGAGUCAAAGCAACUUCGGGCUACGCUUUAGUGACUGGGGGCUGCUUAGACGUAGAACUAGUUCGGAAACAGUGCGUCGCUACGGAGGCACUAAAGAUUGAGAGUCUAAAACAUAUAUUGAUCACAUCGUCACACAUCGAGUAGACAUCUCUUCAUGGUCGCAUCCACAUCGAGAGAUUGGACAGGGAAGCCGCCUACAAUGGACUUGCACGAAUCACUACCGUUAGAUCACUCACUUACAGAGACAGAGGUCAAAUGCCAAUCGUGCCCGCGACCAGACAGUCCACAGAGACAGCUAGAAGGUGAAGG
rnacentral:rRNA from 1 species